rnacentral:piRNA from 4 species
AAUCUGAGGGUCCAGGGUUCAAGUCCCUGU